rnacentral:sRNA from 1 species
UGCGCCAAAAGCUUUGGUGAAGCUGAGCUGCCCGGCCACUGCCACUCCUCCCGCAGAUGAAGGAACUGAGAACCACAGGGACAGUGGAAGAGGAUGGAACCGGUAGUUUUCAAUAUACAAGGCUUUCACCUCUUUAUUAAAUUAUUUCUAAGUAUUUUAAUCUUUUUGAUGCUAUUCAUCUUCAACCCAGAUUUCAAAUACCAGUGUUUUCAAACUAGAAGAGAAUCCAAAAUCUGCACUUAUUCUGGAGAAAAAAAAUGAAGCUAACCAUCUAGGACAACAAAGGGAUUCUAGUAAGCAAGGAGGUAGUUAUACACAAGGAAAUCCAGGAACAUUUAGUCUUCAAGGACAACCAGGAUAUUUUAACAAGCUAGAGAAACCAACACAUUUUAAGCAAGGGAGAGCAGGAGUUUUAAACCAGCCUGGGAUUUUAAAGAAUUCAGGAAAAUCUAACCAAAAAGGGAAUCCAGAAUCUUCUAAUAUGCAGGAAAACUCAGGAUCUUCUAGCCAACUAGGGAAACCAGGGAUUUAUACCCAAAAGGUGAAUCCAGGGUCAUCUGGCCAACAAGGGAAACCAGGGUCAUUUAGCCGGAAAGUGAUGGUGGGGUCAUCUAGCCAACAGGGGAAGCCAGGAUCAUCUAGCCAACAUGGGAAUCUAGGGUCAUCUACCCAGAAAGGGAAUUUAGGAUCUUCUAGCCUACAAGGGCAUCUGGGUUUAUCUAGCCAUCAAGGGAAGCCAGAGUCAUCUGGCCAACAAGGGAAGCCAGGGUCAUCUAGCCAACAAGGAAAUCUAGGAUCUUCUAGCCAACAAGGGAAUCCAGGGUCUUCUAGCCAUCAAGCAAAGCCAGGUUCAUCUAGCCAACAAGGAAAUCUAGGAUCUUCUGGCCAACAGGGGAAGCCAGGAUCUUCUAGGGAACAGGGGAAGCCAGGGUCGUCUAGCCAUCAAGGGAAGCCAGGGUCAUCUAGCCAACAAGGAAAUCUACAUUUAUCUAGCCAGCAAGGGAAUCAAGGACCUUCUAGCAAACAGAGGAAGCCAGGGUCAUCCAGCCAUCAAGGAAAUCUACGAUUAUCUAGCCAGCAAGGGAAUAUAGGAUCUCCUAGCCAACAGGGGAAGCCAGAGUCUUCUAGCCAACAAGGGAAUCUAGGGUCAUCUAGCCAUCAAGGGAAACCAGGGUCAUCUAGCCAUCAAGGGAAGCCAGUGUCAUCUAGCCAACAAGGGAAGCCAGGGGCAUCUAGUCAACAAGGAAAUCUAGGGUCAUCUAGCCAGCAAGGAGAUCUAGGAUCUUCUAAGCAGCAAGGGAAGCCAGGGUCAUCUAGCCAGCAAGGAAAUAUAGGGUCAUCUGGCCAGGAAUGGAAGCCAGAGUCAUCUAGCCAACAGAGAAAAUUAAGGUCACUUUACAACCAACAACAAA